rnacentral:lncRNA from 1 species
GGCGGCGCUGACCUUCCGCCGGCUGUUGGCUCUCCCUAGGGCUGCCCGGGGUUUCGGGGUGCGAGUGUCGCUGAGCGGGGAGAAGAUCACGCAUACCGGCCAGGUAACGAGGUAACGGCCGUAAUGCCUGGAACCCGAGACUGACGGUAGCAGGGAGCGUGGCAAGGUGUCUGAUGGAAAAGACUACAGGGGGAUUCGUUUUGUAGAUCGUCAGAAAGAGGUGAAUGAGAACUUUGCCAUUGAUUUGAUAGCACAACAACCUGUGAAUGAGGUGGACCGUCGUAUCAUAGCCUGUGAUGGAGGGGGUGGAGCCUUGGGCCACCCCAAGGUGUAUAUAAACCUGGGACAAAGAAACAAAAACGGGUACGUGUGGCUACUGCGGCCUGCAGUUCAAGCAGCAGCAUCACUAGUGUGGGCUGUGUCCUGGUCCUCUGACACCCGUGGAGCAUCUCAUGCUUAGUGUUCUGGUGUGAGGUCACUGCUCUGUGAAUGGUGUCCCUUGUUAUGAAUAAAGGAUGC